rnacentral:rRNA from 1 species
AUUGAACGCUGGCGGCAGGCCUAACACAUGCAAGUCGAGCGAGUGGCGGACGGGUGAGUAAUGUAUGGGGAACUGCCCGAUGGAGGGGGAUAACUACUGGAAACGGUAGCUAAUACCGCAUACCAUCGGAUGUGCCCAUAUGGGAUUAGCUAGUAGGUGGGGUAAAGGCUCACCUAGGCGACGAUCUCUAGCUGGUCUGAGAGGAUGACCAGCCAAACUGGGACGGAGACACGGCCCAGACUCCUACGGGAGGCAGCAGUGGGGAAUAGUGCACAAUGGGCGAAAGCCGGAUGCAGCCAUGCCGCGUGUAUGAAGAAGGCCUUAGGGUUGUAAAGUACUUUCAGCGAGGAGGCGUUACCCGCAGAAGAAGCACCGACUAACUCCGUGCCAGCAGCCGCGGUAAUUC